UAACGCCGCGGGGCUGCAUGGCCCCGCGGCCAAAGGAAGCGAUUCCGGCGGGGGAUGGGCAUGCGGCGCAUUAGCUAGUCGGCGGGGUAACGGCCCACCGAGGCGACGAUGCGUAGGGGUUCUGAGAGGAAGGUCCCCCACACUGGUACUGAGACACGGACCAGACUCCUACGGGAGGCAGCAGUGAGGAAUAUUGGUCAAUGGGCGGGAGCUUGAACCAGCCAAGUCGCGUGAGGGAAGACGGUCCUACGGAUUGUAAACCUCUUUUGCCGGGGAGCAACGGGGUCCUUGCGAGGGUCUGAUGAGAGUACCCGGAGAAAAAGCAUCGGCUAACUCCGUGCCAGCAGCCGCGGUAAUACGGAGGAUGCGAGCGUUAUCCGGAUUUAUUGGGUUUAAAGGGUGCGUAGGCGGGCUGUUAAGUCAGCGGUCAAAUGUCGGGGCUCAACCCCGGCCUGCCGUUGAAACUGGCGGCCUCGAGUGGGCGAGAAGUAUGCGGAAUGCGUGGUGUAGCGGUGAAAUGCAUAGAUAUCACGCAGAACUCCGAUUGCGAAGGCAGCAUACCGGCGCCCGACUGACGCUGAGGCACGAAAGCGUGGGUAUCGAACAGGAUUAGAUACCCUGGUAGUCCACGCAGUAAACGAUGAAUGCUAGCUGUCCGGGG
rnacentral:rRNA from 1 species